CACAUACCUUCAGUCCUUCCUCUCUCUGCCGCCAGCCAGCCUGGGAGCCCAGAGAGUCCAGGGCUUCCCAGUGCCUGUACUUUCUCCCUUCCCAACUCUCAACUUUCUUCUGUUGUGUGAAAACUGCCUCUCCUGCCCCAAAAGCUUUGCCUCUUCAACAUGACGGGGGUGAAAAGUGACCUUUUGAGGUGACUGUAACUGAAGAUUGCUUUACGGAAGCCAGAAAAGGUUUU
rnacentral:lncRNA from 1 species